rnacentral:rRNA from 1 species
ACUAAGCGUACACGGUGGAUGCCCUGGCAGUCAGAGGCGAUGAAGGACGUGCUAAUCUGCGAUAAGCGUCGGUAAGGUGAUAUGAACCGUUAUAACCGGCGAUUUCCGAAUGGGGAAACCCAGUGUGWUUCGWCACACUAUCAUUAACUGAAUCCAUAGGUUAAUGAGGCGAACCGGGGGAACUGAAACAUCUAAGUACCCCGAGGAAAAGAAAUCAACCGAGAUUCCCCCAGUAGCGGCGAGCGAACGGGGAGCAGCCCAGAGCCUGAAUCAGUGUGUGUGUUAGUGGAAGCGUCUGGAAAGGCGCGCGAUACAGGGUGACAGCCCCGUACACAAAAAUGCACAUGCUGUGAGCUCGAUGAGUAGGGCGGGACACGUGGUAUCCUGUCUGAAUAUGGGGGGACCAUCCUCCAAGGCUAAAUACUCCUGACUGACCGAUAGUGAACCAGUACCGUGAGGGAAAGGCGAAAAGAACCCCGGCGAGGGGAGUGAAAAAGAACCUGAAACCGUGUACGUACAAGCAGUGGGAGCACGCUUMGGCGUGUGACUGCGUACCUUUUGUAUAAUGGGUCAGCGACUUAUAUUCUGUAGCAAGGUUAACCGAAUAGGGGAGCCGAAGGGAAACCGAGUCUUAACUGGGCGUUAAGUUGCAGGGUAUAGACCCGAAACCCGGUGAUCUAGCCAUGGGCAGGUUGAAGGUUGGGUAACACUAACUGGAGGACCGAACCGACUAAUGUUGAAAAAUUAGCGGAUGACUUGUGGCUGGGGGUGAAAGGCCAAUCAAACCGGGAGAUAGCUGGUUCUCCCCGAAAGCUAUUUAGGUAGCGCCUCGUGAAUUCAUCUCCGGGGGUAGAGCACUGUUUCGGCAAGGGGGUCAUCCCGACUUACCAACCCGAUGCAAACUGCGAAUACCGGAGAAUGUUAUCACGGGAGACACACGGCGGGUGCUAACGUCCGUCGUGAAGAGGGAAACAACCCAGACCGCCAGCUAAGGUCCCAAAGUCAUGGUUAAGUGGGAAACGAUGUGGGAAGGCCCAGACAGCCAGGAUGUUGGCUUAGAAGCAGCCAUCAUUUAAAGAAAGCGUAAUAGCUCACUGGUCGAGUCGGCCUGCGCGGAAGAUGUAACGGGGCUAAACCAUGCACCGAAGCUGCGGCAGCGACGCUKAUGCGUUGUUGGGUAGGGGAGCGUUCUGUAAGCCUGYGAAGGUGUGCUGUGAGGYAUGCUGGAGGUAUCAGAAGUGCGAAUGCUGACAUAAGUAACGAUAAAGCGGGUGAAAAGCCCGCUCGCCGGAAGACCAAGGGUUCCUGUCCAACGUUAAUCGGGGCAGGGUGAGUCGACCCCUAAGGCGAGGCCGAAAGGCGUAGUCGAUGGGAAACAGGUUAAUAUUCCUGUACUUGGUGUUACUGCGAAGGGGGGACGGAGAAGGCUAUGUUGGCCGGGCGACGGUUGUCCCGGUUUAAGCGUGUAGGCUGGUUUUCCAGGCAAAUCCGGAAAAUCAAGGCUGAGGCGUGAUGACGAGGCACUACGGUGCUGAAGCAACAAAUGCCCUGCUUCCAGGAAAAGCCUCUAAGCAUCAGGUAACAUCAAAUCGUACCCCAAACCGACACAGGUGGUCAGGUAGAGAAUACCAAGGCGCUUGAGAGAACUCGGGUGAAGGAACUAGGCAAAAUGGUGCCGUAACUUCGGGAGAAGGCACGCUGAUAUGUAGGUGAAGYSMCUUGCKSRUGGAGCUGAAAUCAGUCGAAGAUACCAGCUGGCUGCAACUGUUUAUUAAAAACACAGCACUGUGCAAACACGAAAGUGGACGUAUACGGUGUGACGCCUGCCCGGUGCCGGAAGGUUAAUUGAUGGGGUYAGCGCAAGCGAAGCUCUUGAUCGAAGCCCCGGUAAACGGCGGCCGUAACUAUAACGGUCCUAAGGUAGCGAAAUUCCUUGUCGGGUAAGUUCCGACCUGCACGAAUGGCGUAAUGAUGGCCAGGCUGUCUCCACCCGAGACUCAGUGAAAUUGAACUCGCUGUGAAGAUGCAGUGUACCCGCGGCAAGACGGAAAGACCCCGUGAACCUUUACUAUAGCUUGACACUGAACAUUGAGCCUUGAUGUGUAGGAUAGGUGGGAGGCUUKGAAGUGUGGACGCCAGUCUGCAUGGAGCCGACCUUGAAAUACCACCCUUUAAUGUUUGAUGUUCUAACGUUGACCCGURAUCCGGGUUGCGGACAGUGUCUGGUGGGUAGUUUGACUGGGGCGGUCUCCUCCUAAAGAGUAACGGAGGAGCACGAAGGUUGGCUAAUCCUGGUCGGACAUCAGGAGGUUAGUGCAAUGGCAUAAGCCAGCUUGACUGCGAGCGUGACGGCGCGAGCAGGUGCGAAAGCAGGUCAUAGUGAUCCGGUGGUUCUGAAUGGAAGGGCCAUCGCUCAACGGAUAAAAGGUACUCCGGGGAUAACAGGCUGAUACCGCCCAAGAGUUCAUAUCGACGGCGGUGUUUGGCACCUCGAUGUCGGCUCAUCACAUCCUGGGGCUGAAGUAGGUCCCAAGGGUAUGGCUGUUCGCCAUUUAAAGUGGUACGCGAGCUGGGUUUAGAACGUCGUGAGACAGUUCGGUCCCUAUCUGCCGUGGGCGCUGGAGAACUGAGGGGGGCUGCUCCUAGUACGAGAGGACCGGAGUGGACGCAUCACUGGUGUUCGGGUUGUCAUGCCAAUGGCACUGCCCGGUAGCUAAAUGCGGAAGAGAUAAGUGCUGAAAGCAUCUAAGCACGAAACUUGCCCCGAGAUGAGUUCUCCCUGACYCYUURAGRGUCCUGAAGGAACGUUGAAGACGACGACGUUGAUAGGCCGGGUGUGUAAGCGCAGCGAUGCGUUGAGCUAACCGGUACUAAUGAACCGUGAGGCUUAACC